UACCAUGCAAGUCGAGCGGCAGCACGGGGAGCUUGCUCCCUGGUGGCGAGCGGCGGACGGGUGAGUAAUGCAUAGGAAUCUGCCCGAUAGUGGGGGAUAACCUGGGGAAACCCAGGCUAAUACCGCAUACGUCCUACGGGAGAAAGCAGGGGACCUUCGGGCCUUGCGCUAUCGGAUGAGCCUAUGUCGGAUUAGCUAGUUGGUGGGGUAAUGGCCCACCAAGGCGACGAUCCGUAGCUGGUCUGAGAGGAUGAUCAGCCACACUGGGACUGAGACACGGCCCAGACUCCUACGGGAGGCAGCAGUGGGGAAUAUUGGACAAUGGGGGCAACCCUGAUCCAGCCAUGCCGCGUGUGUGAAGAAGGCCCUCGGGUUGUAAAGCACUUUCAGUGGGGAAGAAGGCCUUGCGGUUAAUAACCGCGAGGAAGGACAUCACUCACAGAAGAAGCACCGGCUAACUCCGUGCCAGCAGCCGCGGUAAUACGGAGGGUGCGAGCGUUAAUCGGAAUUACUGGGCGUAAAGCGCGCGUAGGCGGCUCGAUAAGCCGGUUGUGAAAGCCCCGGGCUCAACCUGGGAAUGGCAUCCGGAACUGUUGGGCUAGAGUGCAGGAGAGGAAGGUAGAAUUCCCGGUGUAGCGGUGAAAUGCGUAGAGAUCGGGAGGAAUACCAGUGGCGAAGGCGGCCUUCUGGUCUGACACUGACGCUGAGGUGCGA
rnacentral:rRNA from 1 species